rnacentral:rRNA from 1 species
AGGUGGGGACCUUCGGGCCUACUGGCCUGGGAUCGGCCCAUGUCCUAUCAGCUUGUUGGUGGGGUAAUGGCCUACCAAGGCGAAGACGGGUAGCCGGCGUGAGAGCGCGACCGGCCACAUCGGGACUGAGACACUGCCCGGACACCUACGGGUGGCUGCAGCAACGAAUAUUCCGCAAUGGGCGCAAGCCUGACGGAGCGACGCCGCGUGGAGGAUGAAGUCUUUCGGGAUGUAAACUUCAAUAGUUUGCCAGGAAGCAAAGGGACCUAAUACGUCCCGGCGUUGACCAGCGAACGAAAGGGGCGGCUAACUCCGUGCCAGCAGCCGCGGUAAGACGGAGGCCCCUAGCGUUGUUCGGAAUCACUGGGCUUAAAGAGGGUGUAGGCGGAGCAGCAAGUACUUUGUGAAAGCCCCGGGCUCAACCCGGGAAUUGCUUGGUAUACUGUUGCUCUUGAGGCAGGUAGGGGUCACUGGAACCUUAGGUGGAGCGGUGAAAUGCGUAGAUCUCUAAGGGAACGCCUGUGGCGAAAGCGGGUGACUGGGCCUGUCCUGACGCCUGAGACCCGAAAGCGUAGGGAGCAAACAGGAUUAGAUACCCUGGUAGUCUACGCCGUAAACGAUGCGCACUAGGUUCGAGAGCUACUGACGGCCCUCGUGCCGAAGCAAAAGUACUAAGUGCGCCGCCUGGGGAGUACGGCCGCAAGGCUAAAACUCAAAGGAAUUGACGGGGGCUCACACAAGCGGUGGAGCAUGUGGAUCAAUUCGAAGCAACGCGAAGAACCUUACCUGGGUUUGACAUGCACGGAUGCCCUUCUGGAAACAGGAGUAAGCUGCCUUCGGGUGAAACGUGCACAGGUGCUGCAUGGCUGUCGUCAGCUCGUGCUGUGAAGUGUCGGGUUAAGUCCCUUAACGAGCGAAACCCUUGUCGCUAGUUGCCAGCGGGUCAUGCCGGGAACUCUAGCGAGACUGCCGGCGUUAAGCCGGAGGAAGGUGGGGAUGACGUCAAGUCAUCAUGGCCUUUAUGCCCAGGGUGUCACACGUGCUACAAUGGGGCGUACAGAGCGACGCAAGACCGUGAGGUGGAGCAAAUCACAGAAAGCGUCCCUCAGUUCGGAUCGGGGUCUGCAACUCGACCCCGUGAAGCUGGAAUCGCUAGUAAUCGCGUAUCAGCCAUGACGCGGUGAAUAUGUUCCUGAGCCUUGUACACACCGCCCGUCAAGUCAUGGAAGCUGGGAGUUCCCGAAGU